rnacentral:rRNA from 1 species
CCUACGGGUGGCAGCAGUGAGGAAUAUUGGUCAAUGGACGGAAGUCUGAACCAGCCAUGCCGCGUGCAGGAUGACGGCCCUAUGAGUUGUAAACUGCUUUUAUACAAGGGUAAAACUGAACACGUGUAUUCUUCUGCAUGUACUUUACGAAUAAGGAUCGGCUAACUCCGUGCCAGCAGCCGCGGUAAUACGGAGGAUCCAAGCGUUAUCCGGAUUUAUUGGGUUUAAAGGGAGCGUAGGUGGAUUGUUAAGUUAGUGGUGAAAGUUACGGGCUUAACCCGGGAACUGCCACUGAUACUGUUAAUCUAGAGAGCAGAUGCGGUAGGCGGAAUGUAUGGUGUAGCGGUGAAAUGCUUAGAGAUCACGCAGAACACCGAUUGCGAAGGCAGCUUACCAAUCUAUAACUGACGUUGAGGCACGAAAGCGUGGGGAGCAAACAGGAUUAGAUACCCGAGUAGUC